rnacentral:tRNA from 1 species
AUACAAAAUAGUGAAAAUUUGAUUUUUAUCAAGACAGAAAUGUCUGUUUAUA